rnacentral:tRNA from 1 species
UUCCUGGUGGUCCAGUGGCUAAGGCUCUGCACUAGCAACGCAGGGGCCCAGGUUUGAUCCCUGGUCAGGGAA